UGGCGGCGUGCCUAAUACAUGCAAGUCGAACGGCUUUUCUAUGGAAGCUUGCUUCCACUGAGAAGAUAGUGGCGAACGGGUGAGUAACAACGUGGGUAACCUGCCCAUAAGAGGGGGAUAACAUCCGGAAACGGGUGCUAAUACCGCAUAGUUUUCUUGAUUGCAUGAUUGAGAAGGAAAGACGGCCUUUGUGCUGUCGCUUAUGGAUGGACCCGCGGCGUAUUAGUUAGUUGGUGAGGUAACGGCUCACCAAGACGAUGAUACGUAGCCGACCUGAGAGGGUGAUCGGCCACAUUGGGACUGAGACACGGCCCAAACUCCUACGGGAGGCAGCAGUAGGGAAUCUUCCGCAAUGGACGAAAGUCUGACGGAGCAACGCCGCGUGAGUGAAAGAAGGUUUUCGGAUCGUAAAACUCUGUUGUCAGAGAAGAACAAGUUGGAGAGUAACUGCUCCAGCCUUGACGGUAUCUGACCAGAAAGCCACGGCUAACUACGUGCCAGCCGCCGC
rnacentral:rRNA from 1 species